CGGCCGCGUCGACGUUGUAAGUCAAGAACGGGUGUGAGAGUGGAAAGUUCACACUGUGACGGUAGCUUACCAGAAAGGGACGGCUAACUACGUGCCAGCAGCCGCGGUAAUACGUAGGUCCCGAGCGUUAUCCGGAAUGAUUGGGCGUAAAGCGUCCGCAGGUGGCAGUUCAAGUCUGCUGUCAAAGACCGGGGCUUAACUUCGGAAAGGCAGUGGAAACUGAGCAGCUAGAGUAUGGUAGGGGCAGAGGGAAUUCCUGGUGUAGCGGUGAAAUGCGUAGAGAUCAGGAAGAACAUCGGUGGCGAAGGCGCUCUGCUGGACCAUAACUGACACUCAGGGACGAAAGCUAGGG
rnacentral:rRNA from 1 species